rnacentral:rRNA from 1 species
GGGGUGCUCGAGUGGCGAACGGGUGAGUAACACGUGAGUAACCUGCCCUUGACUUUGGGAUAACUUCAGGAAACUGGGGCUAAUACCGGAUAGGAGCUCCUGCUGCAUGGUGGGGGUUGGAAAGUUUCGGCGGUUGGGGAUGGACUCGCGGCUUAUCAGCUUGUUGGUGGGGUAGUGGCUUACCAAGGCUUUGACGGGUAGCCGGCCUGAGAGGGUGACCGGCCACAUUGGGACUUAGAUACGGCCCAG